GACGGCUUAGUAGAGUGGAGAGGGACGACGGUUACCAGCCGCAUGGUUCUGCAUAAUUUAUUAAUUUUCCCUCAUUUCCUCUCGUCGAGGACAUUAUUUUCCAAUUGCAGUGUCCACGCAAGUUUGGGUGAAGUCAGCAGCCAUCCAUGGCAGAAUGCUUGCAAUUUUUCUAUUCUUUCCAAGGCCGAAGCUCCAGGGAGGCAACCGAGGAUCGUAACCCGGCUCUCCUUGUUUCUGGCAUGGGAGGCUCCAUUCUUCACUCUAGGCCCAAGAAAUUCGGGUUUCAGUCUCGCGUAUGGGUUAGGAUUCUUCUGGCUGAUUUGGAGUUCAGAAAGAAGCUGUGGUCCAUCUAUAAUCCCCAAACAGGUUAUGCAGAAACACUAGACCAAAACACUGAAGUUGUCGUUCCUGAAGAUGAUUAUGGGCUGUACGCAAUCGAUAUUUUAGAUCCAUCAUUGGUGGUAAAAUGUGUGCAUUUGACUGAGGUAUACCAUUUUCAUGAUAUGAUUGACAUGCUUGUUAAAUGUGGAUACAAGAAGGGAACCACAUUGUUUGGAUAUGGUUAUGAUUUCCGGCAAAGCAAUCGAAUUGACAAGUUAAUGGAAGGGCUUACAGUCAAGUUGGAAAAUGCUUACAAAGCCUCUGGUGGAAGAAAAGUUGAUAUAAUUUCACAUUCAAUGGGAGGAAUACUGAUAUUGUGUUUCAUGGAGCUUCACAAUGAUGUAUUUUCAAAAUAUGUGCGAAAAUGGAUUUGUAUUGCUUGUCCUUUCCAAGGAGCCCCAGGAUGUAUCAAUGAUUCUUUAUUAACUGGACUGCAAUUUGUUGAUGGUUUUGAAAGCUACUUUUUUGUAUUAAGGUGGACUAUGCAUCAACUGCUAGUUGAAUGUCCAUCAAUCUAUGAAAUGCUGGCAAAUCCAGAAUAUAAAUGGAAAAAACGGCCAGAAAUUCAAGUAUGGCGAAAGCAUACCAAGGAUGGGGAGAUUAAUGUCAAUUUGGAAUCUUAUGGACCAAACCAAAGUAUAUCUUUAUUUGAGGAAGCACUAAGGCACAAUGAGCUAAAUUACGAUGGGAAAAAGAUAGCACUGCCCUUCAACUUAGCUAUCCUCAAAUGGGCUGCUGAAACUCGACAAGUUAUGCACAAUGCUAAACUACCAAAUGGUGUCUGCUUUUAUAAUAUUUAUGGGACAUCGUUUGAUACACCCUUUGAUGUUUGGUAUGAUGAAUGGGGUGAGGUUCUCCAUUCCACUUAAGUACCUGUCAAUUAGUACCAGAAUCAGGUUGUUAGCAGUUUUGGAGAAAGCUAUCCACGUAGGGUUCUGACUGACAUGUUGAGUUACGUGGAGCAGAGUGCAGCUAUUGGGAUGUCUACUUUUUGUGGGGGUCAAUUGAAGGAGACUUGGUAUAGUAUGGGAUAUUAUGUCUCACAUUGGCUAGUAUGAGAUGCUCAAUGAAUUAUUUAAGCGAGUUGGUUCAGCAAUUAGCUUUUGAUGUAGGGUUUCCUAUCCCACUUAAGUACCAUCAUCAUUGGAUUUUUUACCAAGAGAGUUGAGGACUUCUAGUUCACAACGUCUGAAGAUGGGAUAGUGUUGGAAAGAGAGAGAAAGGUCCCAAAUGAAUAGCCCCCAUUUCUCUGGUUGUAUUCAUUUCUCUCCAGCAUUACUGCUCAAAUUUCCUUUUGAACUUCAGAAGUUUCAAAUCCCUUCUAUACUAUUGUUGCAUUUUACAUGUUUCUACCUAUUGCAGUUAUGGCUCGGAAAAAUCUCCUAUAGAAGAUUUAUCUGAAAUAUGCCACACAAUGCCUCAAUAUUCUUACGUCCAAGGAGAUGGAACAGUGCCUGCUGAGUCAGCCAAGGCUGAUGGACUUCCAGCAGCUGAAAGAGUAGAAGUUACUGC